rnacentral:rRNA from 1 species
AUGCAAGUCGAACGGUAUCAGGAGAAAGCUUGCUUUCUCGCUGACGAGUGGCGGACGGGUGAGUAACGCGUAGGAAUCUACCUUGUAGCGGGGGACAACUCGAGGAAACUCGAGCUAAUACCGCAUAAUCUCUACGGAGCAAAGAGGGCCUCUAUUUAUAUGCUCUCACUAUAAGAUGAGCCUGCGUCGGAUUAGCUUGUUGGUGGGGUAAAGGCCUACCAAGGCAACGAUCCGUAGCUGGUCUGAGAGGACGAUCAGCCACACUGGGACUGAGACACGGCCCAGACUCCUACGGGAGGCAGCAGUGGGGAAUAUUGGACAAUGGGCGAAAGCCUGAUCCAGCAAUGCCGCGUGUGUGAAGAAGGCCUUCGGGUUGUAAAGCACUUUCAGUAGGGAAGAAAUGCCUAAGGUUAAUACCCUUAGGAGUUGACGUUACCUACAGAAGAAGCACUGGCUAACUCUGUGCCAGCAGCCGCGGUAAUACAGAGAGUGCGAGCGUUAAUCGGAAUUACUGGGCGUAAAGCGCACGUAGGUGGAUACUUAAGUCGGAUAUGAAAGCCCUGAGCUUAACUCGGGAACUGCAUUCGAUACUGGGUAUCUAGAGUAUAGUAGAGGGAA